GGUCAUGGCUUAGGGGUUAGUGCAUCUGCUUUGAAUGCAGAAGGCUCCAUGUUCAAUCCCUGACAUCUCUA